GGCUGGUCCGAAGGUAGUGAGUGAUCUCACUUGAUUAUUCCCUCAGUUACAGAUUGAAUUCCUUGUGCUUCUCUUUCCCUCCUUCUCACUACUGCACUUGACUAGACUUAA
ensembl:misc_RNA Y_RNA Y RNA